CUGAAACCUCCAGUUAUCGUCCGAUCACGUUGC
rnacentral:sRNA from 1 species